GAUGAACGCUAGCGGCAGGCUUAAUACAUGCAAGUCGUGGGGCAGCAGGUUUGUAGCAAUACAGAUGCUGGCGACCGGCAAACGGGUGCGGAACACGUACAGAACCUUCCUUUGAGCGGGGAAUAGCCCAGAGAAAUUGGAUUAAUACCCCAUAGUAUAAUGAAGUGGCAUCACUUUAUUAUUAAAGAUUUAUCACUCGAAGAUGGCUGUGCGGCUGAUUAGGUAGUUGGCGGGGUAAAGGCCCACCAAGCCUGCGAUCAGUAAACUGGUGUGAGAGCACGACCAGUCACACGGGCACUGAGACACGGGCCCGACUCCUACGGGAGGCAGCAGUAAGGAAUAUUGGUCAAUGGAGGCAAACUCUGAACCAAGCCAUGCCGCCGUGGAGGAUGAA
rnacentral:rRNA from 1 species